rnacentral:rRNA from 1 species
AACGAACGCUGGCGGCAUGCCUAACACAUGCAAGUCGAACGAAGCCUUCGGGCUUAGUGGCGCACGGGUGCGUAACACGUGGGAAUCUGCCCUUCGGUUCGGAAUAACAGUUAGAAAUGACUGCUAAUACCGGAUGAUGACGUAAGUCCAAAGAUUUAUCGCCGAAGGAUGAGCCCGCGUAGGAUUAGGUAGUUGGUAGGGUAAUGGCCUACCAAGCCGACGAUCCUUAGCUGGUCUGAGAGGAUGAUCAGCCACACUGGGACUGAGACACGGCCCAGACUCCUACGGGAGGCAGCAGUGGGGAAUAUUGGACAAUGGGCGAAAGCCUGAUCCAGCAAUGCCGCGUGAGUGAUGAAGGCCUUAGGGUUGUAAAGCUCUUUUACCAGGGAUGAUAAUGACAGUACCUGGAGAAUAAAGCUCCGGCUAACUCCGUGCCAGCAGCCGCGGUAAU